rnacentral:rRNA from 1 species
CCUACGGGUGGCAGCAGUGAGGAAUAUUGCACAAUGGUGGAGACCCUGAUGCAGCGACGCCGCGUGCGUGACGAAGUAUUUCGGUAUGUAAAACUCUAUCAGCAGGGAAGAAAAUGACGGUACCUGAUUAAGAAGCCCCGGCUAACUACGUGCCAGAAGCCGCGGUAAUACGUAGGGGGCAGGCGUUAUCCGGAUUUACUGGGUGUAAAGGGAGCGUAGACGGCAGCAUAAGUCUGGAGUGAAAUGCCGGGGCUUAACCCUGGAACUGCUGUGGAAACUGUGCAGCUAGAGUGCAGGGGAGGUAAGCGGAAUUCGUGGUGUAGCGGUGAAAUGCUUAGAUAUCACGAGGAACACCAGUGGCGAAGGCAGCUUACGGCAGCGUAACUGACGUUGAGGCUCGAAGGCGUGGGUAGCGAACAGGAUUAGAUACCCCUGUAGUC